rnacentral:tRNA from 1 species
UGGCUCAGUGGUUAAGAGCACUGACUGCUCUUCCAGAGGACCUGAGUUCAAAUCUCAG